UAAUUGUUUAAUUGGUUCCCAUUGCCGGUUGGAAAACUCUAUAUGUCCGCUAAGGGCUAGCUUUUAUGAGUAUCUGAUGUAAGGAGGUAGAACACAAAGAACUCUUGUUCCUUUUUUAACCACAUAAUUAACCUAGGUGCCUAGGCAUUAUGUUCUUGAAGCGGCACCUAAGCUGCCCAAGCAUGCCGAGAAACCAAAUUUCAGCCAAGGAUUAACUAUGAGGCUGCUAGUUACAGUUUAUAAUCCCAUUCUAAGUAUCAUUUAUCUUGUCUUUUAAUUAGUUGGAGGAGGGUUGGCAUCACAAGUUCAUUUGGCUUUCAGAUUAUGUCUAGAGUUUGGACUGCAGUUCUAAAUUUUCAACUGAAUUUCAAAUACUCCAACUAAUUAAUUGGUGCAGAGGAACCUUGAAGAAAAUAAACUAGCAACUUAGGGAACAGAUAUUCCUUAGGAUCUUGUUCCCGACGGAAGUUGCUUCAGGAAUCCCUAAAGAAGGAGAGCCAGCUAAGAUGCGGAACAGCUGCGGCCAGCGUUGAUGUGUUCGUGUUCGAAGACCUAACGGCGGCAGAGUGGAAGCGGUUGACGGAGGGAGCAGCGGACGGUGAGGGAGCGGCGGCGGACGAAAAGAGAGCUGCGGUGGCGGACGCCCUCUCCGAGGAGCGGCGGCGCGCGGUCGUCCGGACGGGAAGAUGUUGUCUUGAAUCAGACGUAUUUUGGAACGUUGUAAAAUUGAGCAGAGUAUCUGUACAACGUGGCUCUAGCUGGCCCCACCCUUAUAAUAUUGCUUAAUUAAUGUAAUAGCAAUUAUAUGGUGAAUGUGGACGUUCUGGUGGCUAGUUUUUUUUUU